rnacentral:sRNA from 1 species
GUGAGAAUUAGAUAUCGCUUGAUAUCAACUCGAGUUAUUUAAUUUCAAUAAUAAUAAAUGAGCCAUAGACCGUUUAUUAUUAUUGAAAUUAAAUAACUCGAGUUGAUAUCAAUCGAUAUGUAAUUCUCA